AGCGAACGCUGGCGGCAGGCUUAACACAUGCAAGUCGAACGGUCCUUCGGGAUAGUGGCGGACGGGUGAGUAACACGUGGGAACGUACCCUUAGGUUCGGAACAACACAGGGAAACUUGUGAUAAUACCGGAUAAGUCCUUCGGGGGAAAGAUUUAUCGCCUUUGGAGCGGCCCGCGUCUGAUUAGCUUGUUGAUGAGGGAAUGGCUCACCAAGGCUACGAUCAGUAGCUGGUCUGAGAGGAUGGCCAGCCACACUGGGACUGAGACACGGCCCAGACUCCUACGGGAGGCAGCAGUGGGGAAUCUUGCGCAAUGGGCGAAAGCCUGACGCAGCCAUGCCGCGUGGAUGAUGAAGGUCUUAGGAUUGUAAAAUCCUUUCACCGGGGACGAUAAUGACGGUACCCGGAGAAGAAGCCCCGGCUAACUUCGUGCCAGCCGCCGCAGUAA
rnacentral:rRNA from 1 species